rnacentral:rRNA from 1 species
AUUGAACGCUGGCGGCAUGCCUUACACAUGCAAGUCGAACGGCAGCACGGGAGCAAUCCUGGUGGCGAGUGGCGAACGGGUGAGCAAAGCAUCGGAACGUGCCCAGUCGUGGGGGAUAACGUAGCGAGAGCUACGCUAAUACCGCAUACGAUCAGUGGAUGCAGGCGGGGGACCGUAAGGCCUCGCGCGAUUGGAGCGGCCGAUGUCAGAUUAGGUAGUUGGUGAGGUAAAGGCUCACCAAGCCGACGAUCUGUAGCUGGUCUGAGAGGACGACCAGCCACACUGGGACUGAGACACGGCCCAGACUCCUACGGGAGGCAGCAGUGGGGAAUUUUGGACAAUGGGCGCAAGCCUGAUCCAGCAAUGCCGCGUGCAGGAUGAAGGCCUUCGGGUUGUAAACUGCUUUUGUACGGAGCGAAACGGCUUCCACUAAUACUGGGGGCUAAUGACGGUACCGUAAGAAUAAGCACCGGCUAACUACGUGCCAGCAGCCGCCGUAAUAC